UUUUUUUUUUUUUUUUUUUGUUUUCUCAAGAUGAUAACGGAUCUAGCUUCGCCAUCAAUAAGUAUGAGACAAAGGAGUCCAUCUUUGAUGAAACAUCCAUUUUCCUGUUGUACAUUUUUGCAGGACAACUAGCCUGAGCACAAGAGACAUGGUGUACUAGACCUUGUGCGGAAUGUCUACUUCAAAACUUGCAUCUUUAUAUCUGAUAUAUAGAGAUAUAGAGAUAUAGAGAUAUAGAGAGAGGCUGAUGAUUUAUAAACACAAACGAUAAGACUUGUAACAUGAAGUUUAUCGAAAAAGUCAAUCUUUAAAUUCCUUUCUGAACCUCUCUGUUAUGUCAGUGCUUCGGUACCAUGCUUUUAGUGCGGUCAUUUAAAGGCAUAGCGAUGAUAGUUCUAAAGUUACUGUAUUGAUCAAUUGGAAGAACAUCCAAAUAAAAAAAGGCAUGCAAAAUGCUAGUAUUAUCAGUAACUGCAAAUAAAAAAAGAUAACAAAAAUUUACAGGAUCAUCGAGAAGAGUAGAUACUGAUAAUAUUGAGAUCCACAGCACUCAACAACAGUCUUGGAUUUAUUUAGCCAUUUGCUUAACUUACUGUCUCAACAAUAUUGUUGCUUGGCAUCGCCUUAAAUAUAUGACCUAANAAGUAAAAAUUCCCGNUGUCGAAAACAAUUCCCANUCCGNUUCACUUUUUCCUCUUUCCAAANCAUAUNCCGCAAUNANGAAAUGCCUNGUACCUCCCCNACNUGGCGGAUGGAAAAAAGCUUCUUUNANCCCNNNUUUUAACUAUCCNGGGUGGCUNGCGNGCAAAAACACNACGCAAANNACGNAUCCCACNCUNUGGANCAAAACUUCCGCNC
rnacentral:sRNA from 1 species